rnacentral:rRNA from 1 species
UACGUAGGUGGCAAGCGUUGUCCGGAAUUAUUGGGCGUAAAGCGCGCGCAGGCGGUCCUUUAAGUCUGAUGUGAAAGCCCACGGCUCAACCGUGGAGGGUCAUUGGAAACUGGGGGACUUGAGUGCAGAAGAGGAGAGUGGAAUUCCACGUGUAGCGGUGAAAUGCGCUAGAGUAUGAUGGAGGAACACCGGUGGCGAAGG